rnacentral:rRNA from 1 species
UGGGGAAUAUUGCACAAUGGGCGAAAGCCUGAUGCAGCAACGCCGCGUGAGUGAUGAAGGUCUUCGGAUUGUAAAGCUCUGUCUUUUGGGACGAUAAUGACGGUACCAAAGGAGGAAGCCACGGCUAACUACGUGCCAGCAGCCGCGGUAAUACGUAGGUGGCGAGCGUUGUCCGGAUUUACUGGGCGUAAAGGGUGCGUAGGCGGAUGUUUAAGUGAGAUGUGAAAUACCCGGGCUUAACUUGGGUGCUGCAUUUUAAACUGGAUAUCUAGAGUGCAGGAGAGGAGAAUGGAAUUCCUAGUGUAGCGGUGAAAUGCGUAGAGAUUAGGAAGAACACCAGUGGCGAAGGCGAUUCUCUGGACUGUAACUGACGCUGAGGCACGAAAGCGUGGGUAGCAAACAGGAUUAGAUACCCUGGUAGUCCACGCCGUAAAACGAUGAGUACUAGGUGUAGGAGGUAUCGAC